rnacentral:rRNA from 1 species
UACGUAGGAUGCAAGCGGUGUCCGGAUUUAUUGGGUUUAAAGGGUGCGUAGGCGGCCUAUUAAGUCAGUGGUGAAAACGUUCGGCUUAACCGGAGACCCGCCAUUGAUACUGAUAGACUUGAGUGCGACAGAGGGUGUUGGAAUGUGUGGUGUAGCGGUGAAAUGCUUAGAUAUCACGCAGAACACCAAUUGCGAAGGCAGAUGACUAUGUCGUAACUGACGCUGAGGCACGAAAGCGUGGGGAGCAAACAGG